AGUACGAUCGCAAGAUUAAAACUCAAAGGAAUUGACGGGGCCCCGCACAAGCAGCGGAGCAUGCGGCUUAAUUCGACGCAACGCGAAGAACCUUACCAAGGCUUGACAUAUACAGGAAUAUGGCAGAGAUGUCAUAGCCGCAAGGUCUGUAUACAGGUGGUGCAUGGUUGUCGUCAGCUCGUGUCGUGAGAUGUUGGGUUAAGUCCCGCAACGAGCGCAACCCUCGUUCUGUGUUGCCAGCAUUUAGUUGGGGACUCACAGGAGACUGCCGGGGUUAACUCGGAGGAAGGUGGGGAUGACGUCAAAUCAUCAUGCCCCUUAUGUCUUGGGCUGCACGCAUGCUACAAUGGCUGGUACAAACGGCUGCAAUACCGCAAGGUGGAGCGAAUCCGAGAAAGCCAGUCUCAGUUCGGAUUGGGGUCUGCAACUCGACCCCAUGAAGUCGGAGUUGCUAGUAAUCGUAGAUCAGCAACGCUACGGUGAAUACGUUCCCGGGGCUUGUACACACCGCCCGUCACAUCACGAAAGUCGGUAACACCCAAAGUCAGUGGCCCAACCGCAAGGAGGGAGCUGCCAAAGGUGGGAUCGGUGAUUGGGGUG
rnacentral:rRNA from 1 species